CCUAGGGGGCGCAGCAGUGGGGAAUAUUGGACAAUGGGCGAAAGCCUGAUCCAGCCAUGCCGCGUGUGUGAAGAAGGCCUUCGGGUUGUAAAGCACUUUCAGUGGGGAAGAAAGCCUUGGGGCUAAUACCCUCGAGGAAGGACAUCACCCACAGAAGAAGCACCGGCUAACUCCGUGCCAGCAGCCGCGGUAAUACGGAGGGUGCGAGCGUUAAUCGGAAUUACUGGGCGUAAAGCGCGCGUAGGCGGUCUGAUAAGCCGGUUGUGAAAGCCCCGGGCUCAACCUGGGAACGGCAUCCGGAACUGUCAGGCUAGAGUGCAGGAGAGGAAGGUAGAAUUCCCGGUGUAGCGGUGAAAUGCGUAGAGAUCGGGAGGAAUACCAGUGGCGAAGGCGGCCUUCUGGACUGACACUGACGCUGAGGUGCGAAAGCGUGGGUAGCAAACAGGAUUAGAUACCCUUGUAGUC
rnacentral:rRNA from 1 species